ACGAACGCUGGCGGCGUGCCUAAUACAUAGCAAGUCGAACGGCUUUUCUAUGGAAGCUUGCUUCCACUGAGAAGAUAGUGGCGACGGGUGAGUAACACGUGGGUAACCUGCCCAUAAGAGGGGGAUAACAUCCGGAAACGGGUGCUAAUACCGCAUAGUUUUCUUGAUCGCAUGAUUGAGAAAGGAAAGACGGCCUUUGUGCUGUCGCUUAUGGAUGGACCCGCGGCGUAUUAGUUAGUUGGUGAGGUAACGGCUCACCAAGACGAUGAUACGUAGCCGACCUGAGAGGGUGAUCGGCCACAUUGGGACUGAGACACGGCCCAAACUCCUACGGGAGGCAGCAGUAGGGAAUCUUCCGCAAUGGACGAAAGUCUGACGGAGCAACGCCGCGUGAGUGAAGAAAAGGUUUUCGGAUCGUAAAACUCUGUUGUCAGAGAAGAACAAGUCGGAGAGUAACUGCUCCGGCCUUGACGGUAUCUGACCAGAAAGCCACGGCUAACUACGUGCCAGCAGCCGC
rnacentral:rRNA from 1 species